AAUCACGAUAUCAGUCUUAGGUUAAUAAAAACUACAGAUGAGGUUAUAAAACUACUCCAGGAUAAACUAAGGAACAUGAGUCGCAAAAUAAAUGGUGUGUGAUACAUGUGCCCUCCUAUGCCGUUGGCACUGUAAGUUCAGAUACAUAAAUGAGACUAAUCAAACAAAUACAUGAAUGCUGGGUCUCCAAAAUCUGACGUAUCGACUUCUCGGUUGCUUGUGUUCCUGUUUUGCUUUCCCAUUUGUGCCCUUUUGUGGUUUCGGGUCAUCCUCUCUCUCUCUCCAAUCUCUUUCCGAAGCAGAUGUCUCUCUCCCUGCGCUUUGAGCUGCAAGCGCGAUCUCUGUUGGUGGCCACGGCGCGAUCUUCGCCGACGGCCAAAUCCACCAAGGAUCUCCCAACUAAUAGCUGAGAGAUGACGUGCUAGCUACUCCGUUGCCGCGGUUCCUACUUUACGAUUUUUUUCCCUUUUCGUUUGAAGGGCUUUCCCAUUUUUCUUUUGCACCCUUUCAGUGGUUCGAGUCUGCCAGUUGCACUCUCUUUCUCCAAUCUAGCACACUCACUCCCAACAUACAAAUCUACUGAGGAUCUCCCAGUUAUUAAAGACUGAGAUGACUAAGAUAGUUGAAACCGAAUGUGGUAUCUCCUUGGUCGCCGAUUACUCUGGGAAACUAUGAUAAUGGCCUCGCCCACUAUUAUUAACACUUAUUAAUAUCUAUAUUAACCUACAUGUUUCUGCUAAGGGUCUAUGUUAAGCAAACUCCAUAAAUUCUUAUCUCUUUUCAAGAUCCCCUCCAUGGGUUCCUUCUUUGGAACACAAGAAGUAGGUUGAGACUCUGAUCGUCCUCUUUUCUUCUUCCCUGGGACACAAGAAGGUUUGCCUCUUUGAUGCUUACACCUGUGAUUUCUGCAUUAAUUAUUGAUUAUAUGAUUUAGUUCUGACAAAGUUAUCCCCAUGUUUUUCUCUGAUUGAGACAGUCAUCAUCCUCUUUUCUUCUCCGUGGUGCUUUUUUUGCAUGUUAUGCUGCUACUUUGUUGGCAAACUUGCUUAGUAAGGUGUUAGAACUUUAUCUAUUUUGCAUAUGAUCUGACUGUGCUCUUUUCUUGCUGAUUUCUACAUGUUUUGGGCCAUGCUUAAGUUUGUUUUUUUCUUUAUUAUUGGGUUAUCAUGGCGUAGCAAUAUGACCGGCCUCACGGCAAUCAUUACAGCCAUUAAACAAUACCAAAAAAUUAUUUCAUUUUUCAGACAUUUUUUAAUUUUUCUUUCAUCAUCCUCCUUUCUUCCUUGGAACACGAGAAGAUUUUCCUCUUUGAUGCUUAAACCUGUAAUUUCUGAAUAGAUUAUUAUUUAUAUAUAUGUGAUUUAGCUUUAACAAAGUUCUCCCAAUUUCUUAA